rnacentral:rRNA from 1 species
GUGGGGAAUAUUGGGCAAUGGGCGAAAGCCUGACGCAGCCAUGCCGCGUGGAUGAUGAAGGUCUUAGGAUUGUAAAAUCCUUUCACCGGUGAAGAUAAUGACUGUAGCCGGAGAAGAAGCCCCGGCUAACUUCGUGCCAGCAGCCGCGGUAAUACGAAGGGGGCUAGCGUUGCUCGGAUUUACUGGGCGUAAAGGGCGCGUAGGCGGACAUUUAAGUCAGGGGUGAAAUCCCGGGGCUCAACCUCGGAACUGCCUUUGAUACUGGGUGUCUUGAGUAUGAGAGAGGUGUGUGGAACUCCGAGUGUAGAGGUGAAAUUCGUAGAUAUUCGGAAGAACACCAGUGGCGAAGGCGACACACUGGCUCAUUACUGACGCUGAGGCGCGAAAGCGUGGGGAGCAAACAGGAUUAGAAACCCGUGUAGUCC